rnacentral:rRNA from 1 species
AUUGAACGCUAGCGGGAUGCCUUACACAUGCAAGUCGAACGGCAGCGCGGACUUCGGUCUGGCGGCGAGUGGCGAACGGGUGAGUAAUGUAUCGGAACGUGCCCAGUAGCGGGGAUAACUACGCGAAAGCGUAGCUAAUACCGCAUACGCCCUACGGGGGAAAGCAGGGGAUCGUAAGACCUUGCACUAUUGGAGCGGCCGAUAUCGGAUUAGCUAGUUGGUGAGGUAACGGCUCACCAAGGCGACGAUCCGUAGCUGGUUUGAGAGGACGACCAGCCACACUGGGACUGAGAAACGGCCCAGACUCCUACGGGAGGCAGCAGUGGGGAAUUUUGGACAAAGGGGGCAACCCUGAUCCAGCCAUCCCGCGUGUGCGAUGAAGGACUUCGGGUUGUAAAGCACUUUUGGCAGGAAAGAAACGUCGCGGGCUAAUACCCCGUGGAACUGACGGUACCUGCAGAAUAAGCACCGGCUAACUACGUG